GCAAGUCGAACGAGAAAGCCUUCGGGCAAGUAAAGUGGCGCACGGGUGAGUAACGCGUGGGUAAUCUGCCCUUCAGACCGGGAUAACAGCCCUAACGAGCUGCUAAUACUGGAUACGACAAUAAGCUCUGCGGAGCAUAUCGGGAAAGAAUUUCGCUGAAGGAUGAGCCCGCGUAUCAUUAGGUAGUUGGUAGGGUAAAAGCCUACCAAGCCCGAGAUGAUUAGCUGGUCUGAGAGGAUGAUC
rnacentral:rRNA from 1 species